CCUUGUCCAAUUGACACUGUCCCACCAACCUCAGCUUUGACCCUCUGUUUCCUGUGCAGAAUAAAACAUACUGCUGGCUGUAGUAGUGUUCCUUGUCUUGAUUGGGAAAGGUCCCUACGUGGUGUCCCAAUUCCAGGCCUUUGGUCUCUUUGCUGGUAGAGUGAGGCUAUAUUUUUGGACUGUCUUUGAGGUGAUUGAAAGAGCUGUCCUUCCUGACAGCUCUUUGGUGAUCUGGUGGCAUAGGUACACGUGUCGUGGUGUUAGAUCUUGCACGUGGGUGCACCUAACCCUACUAACAGGACUGAGUAAGAAGUAAGGGAUGUCUGUUUUGGAAAAGGGCAGGGGGUUCAAAGUUGGAAUGUUCUUGGUGGGGUAGACAGGUAAGUCGGGAAGGGUGUUGGUGAGGGAUGGAGGAUUCCUUGGUCAUGGGAGGUUCCCUUACCUGUUCAUUUCCAGACCUUUUCACGUCUGUGACUCCUUUCCCCUUCUUUCAAGGAAGUAGGAUUUUUGUGAAGGAAGGGUGACCGCCCUGUAAUCGGGGUUCGGGUCGCUUUCCUUUCCCCCUCUUUGCAUUGGCCCUCUUCAUGCCAAAGUGAGCUCCCUGUAACUAGGGUGUGCAACUUUCCCAAGCUUACUCGCCCAUUUGAAAGCUAGUUAUAGAAAGCAGCCUCUUUGGAGAGUUAGGGGUUUGUCCUUCUAGCUCUCCUGUCGCCGUGCCCUACUCACACGCACAACCAAGUCCAAACCGAGCGAACUCUGCAUCCUGCUGGCCCUGACUGCUGCUGCUGCUGCAAGGUUUCCUGCUCUAUGCCACAGUAACUCAGAAGAGAAAACGGAGAAGAGGACAGAAGUACCAAAGAAACGGCAGGAAAAGACAAUGGAAGCAGAAGCCACAGAAAAGGGACACACACCUUGCACGCAUGGGCCUCCCUGCAAUGAGGACACGGGAUUUCCACUUAAGCUUCAUUCCCCCUUGAGGUGCCAGGUAAAAGGACCUCCCUGUAAACGGGGAUCAAGGUCCACCC